UACGAGGGGGGCGAGCGUUGUUCGGAAUUAUUGGGCGUAAAGGGUGCGUAGGCGGUUUGGUAAGUCUGAUGUGAAAUCUCACAGCUUAACUGUGAAACUGCAUUGGAUACUAUCCGGCUAGAGGAAUGGAGGGGAGACUGGAAUACUUGGUGUAGCAGUGAAAUGCGUAGAUAUCUGGAGGAACACCGGUGGCGAAGGCGGCAUCCUGGACCGGCAUUGACGCUGAGGUGCGAAAGCGUGGGGAGCAAACAGG
rnacentral:rRNA from 1 species